AUUUUCCUAAGGCUCAAAGAGG
rnacentral:piRNA from 1 species